rnacentral:rRNA from 1 species
UACGGAGGGUGCAAGCGUUAUCCGGAUUCACUGGGUUUAAAGGGUGUGUAGGCGGGCUUUUAAGUCAGUGGUGAAAUCUCCGGGCUCAACCCGGAAACUGCCAUUGAUACUAUUAGUCUUGAAUUCUGUUGAGGUAGGCGGAAUAAGUCAUGUAGCGGUGAAAUGCUUAGAUAUGACUUAGAACACCAAUUGCGAAGGCAGCUUGCUAAACAGAUAUUGACGCUGAGGCACGAAAGCGUGGGGAUCAAACAGG